rnacentral:rRNA from 2 species
UGAGUGCAGUAGAGGAAAGUGGAAUUCCUAGUGUAGCGGUGGAAUGCGUAGAUAUUAGGAGGAACAUCAGUGGCGAAGGCGACUUUCUGGACUGUAACUGACGCUGAGGCACGAAAGUGUGGGGAGCAAACAGGAUUAGAUACCCUGGUAGUCCACACUGUAAACGAUGGAUACUAGGUGUAGGAGGUAUCGACUCCUUCUGCGCCGAAGCUAACGCAUUAAGUAUCCCGCCUGGGGAGUACGGCCGCAAGGUUGAAACUCAAAGAAAUUGACGGGGACCCGCACAAGCAGCGGAGCAUGUGGUUUAAUUCGAAGCAACGCGAAGAACCUUACCAAGACUUGACAUCGUAUGACCGCCUAAGAGAUUAGGAAUUCCCUUCGGGGACAUAUAGACAGGUGGUGCAUGGUUGUCGUCAGCUCGUGUCGUGAGAUGUUGGGUUAAGUCCCGCAACGAGCGCAACCCUUAUAACUAGUUGCCAAUAUUAAGUUAGGAACUCUAGUUAGACUGCCGUGGAUAACACGGAGGAAGGUGGGGAUGACGUCAAAUCAUCAUGCCCCUUACGUCUUGGGCUACACACGUGCUACAAUGGCUAUUACAAAGAGCAGCGAGCUGGUAACAGUAAGCGAAUCUCAAAAAGAUAGUCUCAGUUCGGACUGUGGGCUGCAACCCGCCCACACGAAGUCGGAGUUGCUAGUAAUCCCGAAUCAGAAUGUCGGGGUGAAUGCGUUCUCGGGUCUUGUACACACCGCCCGUCACGCCAUGGGAGUUGGGAGUACCCAAAGUCGGUGAGUUAACCCGCAAGGGAGACAGCCGCCUAAGGUAAGACCAAUGACUGGGGUGAAGUCGUAACAAGGUAGCCGUAUCGGAAGGUGCGG